rnacentral:rRNA from 1 species
UAGGUGACCUGCGGAAGGAUCAUUGUCGAAACCUGCAAAGCAGACCGCGAACACGUGCUUUAACAAUGCCGGGUGCGUGGCGUGGGGGCAACCCCCGGUCAUGUACUCGGUCCCCCGCCGGYGCGCGUCCUCGGGCAGUGUCGUGCGGGCUAACGAACCCCGGCGCGGAAUGCGCCAAGGAAAACUAAUCGAAGCGUCCGCCCCUCGUGCCCCGUUCGCGGUGCGCGCGGGGGGAUUGGAUGUCUAUCAAAUGUCAAAACGACUCUCGGCAACGGAUAUCUCGGCUCUCGCAUCGAUGAAGAACGUAGCGAAAUGCGAUACUUGGUGUGAAUUGCAGAAUCCCGUGAACCAUCGAGUCUUUGAACGCAAGUUGCGCCCGAAGCCAUUAGGCCGAGGGCACGUCUGCCUGGGCGUCACGCAUCGCGUCGCCCCCCUCCCCGCGCAUAGCGUGGGCUGCGGGGGCGGAAACUGGCCUCCCGUGCGCCCCGGCGCGCGGCUGGCCCAAAUGCGAUCCCUCGGCGACUCGUGUCGCGACAAGUGGUGGUUGAACAACUCACUUUCAUGUCGUGAUUCUGCGUCGUCGGUAUGGGCAUCCGUAAACGACCCAACGGUGYAGGCGCCACACGGCGCCCAACCUUCGACCGCGAC